ACGGAAGGCAGCAGUGGGGAAUAUUGGGCAAUGGGCGCAAGCCUGACCCAGCAACGCCGCGUGAAGGAAGAAGGCUUUCGGGUUGUAAACUUCUUUUAGCAGGGACGAAGGACGUGACGGUACCUGCAGAAAAAGCAACGGCUAACUACGUGCCAGCAGCCGCGGUAAUACGUAGGUUGCAAGCGUUGUCCGGAUUUACUGGGUGUAAAGGGCGUGUAGGCGGAGCUGCAAGUCAGAUGUGAAAUCCCGGGGCUUAACCCCGGAACUGCAUUUGAAACUGUAGCCCUUGAGUAUCGGAGAGGCAAGCGGAAUUCCUAGUGUAGCGGUGAAAUGCGUAGAUAUUAGGAGGAACACCAGUGGCGAAGGCGGCUUGCUGGACGACAACUGACGCUGAGACACGAAAGCGUGGGGAGCAAACAGGAUUAGAUACCCUGGUA
rnacentral:rRNA from 1 species